rnacentral:lncRNA from 1 species
GAGACAGACGCUCCCAGGUGUUCUGUAUUCAGGUCACCUCUGGGUGCAGGGUGGCUGCUGCUCCCCUGGGCUCUGUGUCCCAGGUCCUGCGAUGCCUGACAAAGGCUGCAGCCAGAUCACUGGGGCACAUGCGAGGAGGAAACAGAAUGGACAGGCCGCAACAUGCCAAGCCACUAAAAGGAUUGACGCUUUAUUCUUCAGAGGAGAAAUACCAUUGUGGGGUCUACGGACCUCUAUCUAAGGCUUGUUAAAACAAAACAGAGAUGCUUAUGCUCUGGAAAGACGCCCGGGAUCCACUGGGCAGAAUGGCAAAGGAAAGAUCCCCAGCACGGAGCUCAGACAGAUGUCCUCGGCGGAGCUGAGUGCGGGGGUACAGGGUGUGGGGGUGCAUCAGUUGUGCUCUGACAGGUGCACAGGGUCCCCUUUCCCUUUGGCACCUCGGCUGCCUGUGCUUCUGGACCAACUGCCUGUUGAGAAAGCCUCUCUGUGUCCAGAAGUGAACUAUGAAAGGCCCUGAGUGGAUGGACUAUAUGCAAGGCACAGGAAGGAGGCCAAGCCCUCAGGAGUGGCAUCCAUGUGCAUUUGGGGCAGAGUGACGACUGGAAAAGACUGACCACGGCCCAGGCUCCCUGCCUUUCAGCUGCCAGUCUGCUGGGAAGUCACUUCCAUGAGGGUGGGGAGAGGUGAUGGCUAUUGACACCCAAGUUACACCUACCAAUGACCCAGUGGCUUCGGGCCUCACAGGCAGUGAGUGGACAUCUAGGCACCUGGAAUGCACCUCUAGGGCUCUGUGCCCGGGCUCUGAACAAGGAGAGAAGCCGCCGGCCCUCCUCCUGACCACUUCACCUCCGGCAGGAGACUAAUGAUGCACCUAAGUUAAUUCACUCGACUCUGGGACUAUGAGGCAGUUCAUCCACACGCUCCAAACUCCAGCUUAUUGUAGGAGACCAGUGCCUCGAUCUCAUGAGGUCAUCUCGACGCCUCAGCUGUAACCCUUGGAGAACCUGUGGUCUCUGCUCCUCUGCCUGCUGACAUGAUCAUCCCAGGUGCAAAACAGACAUUCUACAGAAACAAAAAGAAGCGACCACCAAAAGGAGGGAAAAACCAGGAGCGCACACGUUUCUGACAAGGUCUUCUCUGGAAAUGAGUCAGGUGUGCUCAUGAACUGAGUGAAAAACCACCACACCCAGCUCGCUAAGAGAUGCAUCUCAGAGCAAUCAUAACUUUUUAUGUCCAACAAUUAUCAAAGUAUGUAAUGUAUCCUAAUUGCUUGAUGUGAACAAGUGAUAAUUAUGAUAAUAAUUCCAUCCAACAAGUAAUGAUUAUGGCCUUAUGGUCACCGGAAGUUAAAAAGAAAAGACCUUUAAAAUAUUUCCAAGAUUAAAUGACGUUAGGACAGAAUUCUGGGGUGACGGGCGGACAAAUGGAAUGUAAAUAUCAGCUCGAGGAGGAAAAGGAAGGAUGUAAAGCUAAGAAGAACUUGUUCCAGAAAUGUUUAACUGGGCAGUGGUAAGUAUCAAAUUGCCACAAUACUUAGAUAUCAUAGGAUUAUGUAAUACUUUUAUUUUAAAAUAAAUAUGCUAAAAACUUAUUUUGUACAGCUUUGAAUUAAUGAGAAAAACUUUAGGUGACAACUUAAAAAUGUGUAGGGGAAACAUGAUUUUUCAAAAAUUAUCUUAGGGAUUCAUGAGCAAAAACUACUUGAGGACAGAUGGCCCAGUGUCCUCUGUCUUGGCAUGACUUGGCAAGGUCCCCUCACAUAAAGGCCACUUUAUAAUGAGACUUUCUCUCUUUGGCCACCAAAUUGCUCCUUAAAAUAUUUGAAAGCUGUGGGUCUUAGGUAGAAACUUGCCUGAUGCAGCCAUGUUAAGACCUAGGGCUGAAGUUAGGCACCAGGCUGCUUUCGAAAUUUUUUUUCUUUUAACAUUUACUUUCCUUCAUCAUCUUUUUACAUUUUUAGUCUUUUUGGUUCUGCCCCAUAUGAUCUGCAGGAAAGAGCUGGCUUUUAUCUCCAGGUCUGAAAUGGGUUUGUGCAUUUGCUGGACGGCCCCAACCUUGGUGGUGGCUCCACGGCUGUGAUGGGGCAGCUGCCCGCUGUGUCCUGGCCACUGUUUCUGAGAGCCAGGGCUUUGCCCAGUUGGCCUGCAGGGUGAGAGGCAUGAGGACCUACUCUCCAGACACCCACCCAGUCGCCUGCUGCUGCACCCAAGGAGGCAGCGGGGCUGUUCCUUCUUUGUUAGGACUGGACAAGACCCAGGUUUUGAGGGCCACAGGCUGUAGGAUUCUGUAUGAUGCUUCGCCACCCCAGCAAGUGCCACACCUCCCUGGACUGGAUUGAGAUGGCAGCUCUUCGGCCCCUUUCCAGGUGCAUCUCUCCCUGCAGGGCCUGCAGAGGCAGCCCCUCAUUGGAGGCCCCCCUGCUGGUCCAGACUCUCAUCCUUUCCACCAUGGCCCCCAGCAGCCCUCCUGUCUGCAACCUGGGGUCCUUCCAUCCAUUCUCUGCACAGCGACCAGAAGCUUUUCGAGAGGGACGUCUGACAGUGCUCCUCCUGGGUCCUGCAGGAUGGCGGGCAAACUCCUUGGCGUGUAGCGUGACAGUGACAUGUGGGCCCUCUGGAAUGCCAUGCUCCUGAUGUCUCUCCAUGUGUGGGCGCCCUGUGCUUGAUGGAAGGGGAGCUGUGGGCACAGCCUUGACAGUCUAGGAGGGGGUGCCUCAGGGAGAAGGUGGGGCAGGGGUGCGCCCAGCAGCACUGGUGCAGGAACAGAGGCUGGAAACCAACUGCAUCUGGCGUUGCUUCAUGGACCCACCUGGGCACCACUGGUGGUAGGGGCUGUUUUUGCUUUCUUACAAAGACCCAAAUGAAGAGAGUAGGAGGUAGAGAAACCUAACUUUUGAUGCCAUAAAGGAGUGGGAACCAGGCUGCCUAGUGAUCCCAAGCUCCCACAUGCGCUUGCAGGCCGCUGUGGGGUGCUGUCAGCCAGUGUAGCCAGCUUCAACCCCGCCACACGCACGCUUUCUCUGCAUGGCUGUGGGGCUGCAUUGCAAGCCACACCGCAAUUUCGACUCCCACACGUCGAGUUGGCAUCCACGUCUCUAAGUGGGCCUGCCUUUCAUAUUUACAUUAAAGCCCGCAAUGUAUUCA